UUACAUCGCCGCCGGCUCCAGCGGCGCGGGAGAGAGUCGGUUCGGGGUGACACGGGCCCCGCGCGGGGUGGCGUGGGCCUCCUGUACAAACUUCCCCGAGCAGCCGCACAAAGUUGUGGUAAUUGUGUCACACGGCGAACCCCCCACGCCGCCACCGCGAGCGCUCCCCCUCCUUUCCCCUUCCCCUCCCCACCCUUGCUUGCCUGUGCCCACGCAGACCAAUCGGCGCGCCUGGCCCGGCCCACGUGACCUUUGUUGACUUACGUCAGUCACAGCGCUCCGCUCGCGCUCAUACGCUCCGGCUUGGGAGCCGCGAUUCUAGUUUGGAAGGGCAAGGGGAUGCGCUCUCGCUCCUUUUCAAGCUCGACUGCAGGGUUUCUGUCGGCACGUUCGCGGAACCACACACACACACGAGGCUAAACCUCUUUCCAGAAGGAUUGUACUAUUUUUUUCUGAAGGAGACGCGAUUUCUCCCCAGGGAAACAACUGGAGUACUUCUUCGCCUAAGCAGGAUCACCCCUGUUGGAAACUCCAGCUUCUACCAUCCUUCUUUUGGAUUGUCUUACUAGCAACACUUGGCCUUAUAAAAUAUUUCAUUUUCUUUCCUAAACCAUUAUAAAGCUAAAUGUGUUCCAAUAGUGUUGUCGACCGCGUUUUAAGGGAUCGGGCCCUUAAGGAGAGACCCGACCCGGUCCUGAGGGAACGGACCUUGGCGAAGCCAAAAGGAGAAUAUGAGCCGCAAUACAACCUGGAGCCGAAAUGAAGAAGGUCCGCCAAAGAUGAAGGAAAAUCCGCCAAGGAGUCUUUAUUGAGCAAUUCAGCUGAAAAGGACACUAGUAGUGAUCAUUCAGUCUACUAGCGUAUCAUAUGUUUCAAAUAAAGCCAUAUUUAUACAAUGUUUCGGUCUGACAGCCCUUUGAAUUUCCCGCCCCGCUCCCCCGCCCAUCUGAUCGCGGAUAGGCUGGGAGGUUGAACGAGGCGGGCUUUCGUUUCCCGCCUCGCUCUGCUGGCCCAAUGGGGAGCCGCUUUUUGUCCCCACUCGGGCCAAUCAGAGAGGAGGAGGUGGGAGCUAUUGAAACAAUGAAGUGACAGGACAGGAAAUAUCAGAUUAAUCCUUGCCCGGCCGAUUUCUAAAGGA
rnacentral:lncRNA from 1 species